GGUCCUGUUGAAGCGGCAGCAGAAGCAGCGACCGCGAGGAGGUUGAGGUGGGCCAGGAAAUUCUUUGCUUUCAGCUGCUAUUUGGUGGGUUCGCCGUUGUUUUUUCAUCGGAACUCUUAGAAUACUGUCUAAAGAGUCGAACAGCAUGCAGCAGACAGCACUUGUUAUUGUCUACUUCAUCUUCUGGACACCAGUGAAACCGAGAGAAAACUGUCUGGCUAUAUGUGGUUGUCUUCUGCCACAGCAGCCGAUUACAAUGAUGGCAUUCUCUGGAUCACCCAAACCACACUGUAAUAUAUGGAUGUAACAGUCAGUGUGUAUAGGAGACUAAAUGGGAGUUGUUACAGAAGUGUUGACCCCACAGUGGCUUCUCCAGAGAGCACCUCUGACUGGCAGCCAGGCUGCACAGCAUUUCCCAUUCCUUGAGACUCCCCAUGAUGUACAUCAGACUGACAAAACUCAAGACUGCCAUGGUGAGACAACCCGAAGACCAAAACAAGCCCCGUGCCCAAGAGGAGAAGCCCAAAUGGACAACUGCAGAUCCUGAAACAUUGGCUAACCCUCAAAGGUUGUGGUACAGCCUGUCUCAGCCUUAUUGAAUGAGUAUUACCAGUCUUCUCAGACAGACAGGACAAAUGCAGUGGUAGGGACCCCUGGAUAGUGUUGCGAAUCCUCAAAAGUAUGUCAGAAAUAGGUAGCGUUGGUACAUUUGAGACUGCUUUGAGAUGUAAGAGGUUUACUAAAUUGUCCUGUGAAGAUUUUAUUUAAAGUGCAAGAGUAGAUUCUGAUGAAUAUUGUUUGUCCUUGAUAAGGUGUUCAGUAAAAUUGUGUGAACCUUCCCCUGACUUUUGUCCCCUUAGUCUAUCUCACUGUGUAACUUGUCUGAGUCGAAAAGGGUCACUGCAAACUGGUUAAGAUUCAUCAGAAUACAUUUAUCCACCCUUCACCUUACAACAGUUAUCAGCAACAGUACUCUGGAAUUGAAGUCACGGCAAAGAUUCACAAACUCUCCUUGCAUUCUACAAAAUGCAUGAUGUCCAUUAUGUUAAUCCCAACUGAUUUAUGGGGUAUUGUAUUUCUCAGUGGCCUCCCCACCCCUGCUCAGAGGUCACUUUGUUCAGUUGGCUGAAUGACUUAGUGAUGCAGAGUGAUGCUAGCCACAAGGGUUCAAUUCGUACACCAGCUGUGAGACCCUCAGGUUAAUCCACUACUAGUCAUGUCUCUCUAAUGACAGAGCAGCUGUAUGGUCUGGUAGGACUAUGGCAACUGUACCUUUUACCCACCUCCCCUCCCCCUUCCUUUUUAGCUUUGAUCUACUUGACAUUCUUCAGGGUAGUGUCCUUGGCCCAACCAUCUUCAGCUGCUUCGUCGAAGUGGGGAUGUUCGCCGAUGAUUGCACAACAUUCAACACCAUU